rnacentral:sRNA from 1 species
AUGUGAGAACGUUGUUGGGGAGGGUGUACCAUAUCCCAGCCCCCCAGACUUCGGACAGGGGGAUAGGCAAGGAACCCUCAGGAAGUCCGGAGGAAUGGAAUGGGUCACCUCCCUGGACAGUGGUUUUGGCCCCAGCUGUUCCCCAGGGGCAUCAGAGUCGAGGGGCAGGGCCAGAGCCUCUUUCCUGAUCUCAGUCUCACCGGCCUCUUCUCUCCAGGGGGAAUUAAAUGGACAAAGGGGCCUGGUUCCAUCCAACUUCCUGGAGGGCCCUGGGCCUGAGGCAGGCGGCCUGGACAGGGAACCCAGGACACCCCAGGCUGAGAGUCAGGUCAGUGAGGAGCUGGGCUCCCAGCUUGGCAGGGCAGUCUACCCUACUGGUGGGGUGGUAGGGCCAGGGCAGUGUUGCGGCAGGGGUGCAGCUGGGGUGGUCAUGCAGGUAAGCACUGUGUCCAGCGUGCAGCCGCUAAUUGACCACCAGAGGGGAGCCCCACCAAGCAGCUGCCCCCCAGUAUGUGCCCCUCUCUGCAGAGGGAUGAUAGCUGUGACCCUGACCCUCAGGCCAUCUCGCCAGCUGCCAACACCUGGUGGCUGACGCAGGUGAGGGGGCCCUGUGGAAAAGGACCCCUCUGCCUCACACCUGUGGCCAAUCAAAGUCCCUGUUUCAGGACACUCCCACCCUGGGGGGGGUCUCCAUACCUCCCAGGUGCCUUUGGAAGCCAGUUGCCCAGCCAGGCCCAGCUUCCUGGGUUCUCGUUCCUAGAGCUUGCCUCUCCUUGGGGUGAGUGGAAUACAACUAAGCCUCCACUCUCAGAGGGCAGGGAGAGAGGGUGAAGAGGCCAAGCCCCAGCCAGAAAACUCAGGGCUUCCAUGUGUGAACGCAAAGGCCUUGGAGAGUAGGGCCCACCCCUGUGCAGGGCCACCUGGCGGCCGGGCGGAGAAGGUGCGGGUCUGUCGGUAACCCAUCUCCUCUCUUUGUUCCCUGUCCUCAGAGAACGAGGAGGAGAAGAGUCCAGUGCUAGAUGGAGAUAGAUAUAUGUAGAGAGAGCAACAUGUAAGUGGGGGACUGCCCCCCUGUGUGACCGUCCACCCCCACUUGACCAUAAUCAGACAGUGCUCCUUUGUCUCAAAUACUGGAGCUGACCCAGCUUUCCCACUGUAGUCCAGGGAAUGGCGAAGGAGAGCUUGCCAUGAGCCAGAUUUGCAUGAAGAGUCAUCCCUCCCCCUCCCUGCUCCCCUUGCCUUGCCUUUACCCAGGGCAGUGCCAGCUGUCAUAGGAUUACAUGUCAUCUUAGUGUGUGAUGUCCCAUAUUAGCUGAUGCUUCCUAUUCUAUAACACAUGUGGUUUAUAGAACAUGACGUGGCAUCCAUAUUAGGACUCAUCCGUGGUAUUAUGAUACUGUGUGGCUAUGGUAUUAUAAUAUCAUAAUUAUUACUGGUACCAGGGUGACACUGUAAUGCCACCAGUAAUAAUAGGCUUCCCACCCUUGUCCUCUGCAUUGUGACCUGUUAGGGUGAUCAGAUGCAUGGUUUACCUCCAACUCUCAGUUUUCUCUACUUGGGGGAUAAAAGGGGAGGUUUGGCCAGGUGUGGUGGCUCAUGCCUUUAAUACUAGCUACUUGGGAGGCUGAGGUGGGAGUCACUUGAGCCCAGGAGGUCGAGGCUGCAGUGAGCGGUGAUCACGCCACUGCACUCCAGCCUGGGUGACAGAGCAAGACUCUGUCUCAAAAAUAAAAAAAUAAAAGGGAAGUUUGAGUAGUUCAAAUCCAUAAAUAACCCCAAACCAUUAUUCUCUGGGGCUCAGAAACACCCUCCUUUUGUUUCCCUAACAACCUCUCCCUCCUGGAUGUUGUGGAAGGAGCCCUAAGAGGGAGUGGGAAGGGCCUGGGGCUCGCCAGCUGGCUAUUGGCUCUGGCUGGUUGGGGGUAGAUGCUUUGGCCUCUGUGGGCAGCCCUGCCACAUCACUGCAGGCCUAGGGCGGGGGUGGGGCCUCGGUUGUGCACCCACUUUCCUUGCCUCUGGCCUGGGCUCUAUAGUUGGUUCUGGCUGGGAGCCUGCCAGGCUCUGGGCAGCAAGUGGGAGUUUGAGGAAGGGAAGACAUGCAGGCUGGCAAGAGCUGACAGAGCUGUGCCAGGUACCAGAGGUGAAGGUGGGAACAUAGGUGUAGGGGGCUUUCUGGUGGCUUCUCUGUUCUCCCAGCUCCCUGGCCUUAGAUCACUAAGGAGCGCCGUCUGGGUGGGCUUGAGGCAAAGGGAGUGGAGUCAGGAGGAGAUUCAGUGAGGGAAAAGAUGCUAGAGCCUCCAGAGCCUGUGGUGGGGGCUGAGUGAUGCCCCCAGCUGUGAGUCCCUCUGGGUCCUUGGCCUCCCCGCAGUCCUCUUAGGGGCCCUUAAGGGAGAGUCCCAAUCUUCCUCCCCAUGGAGUGGGUACUGGCUCCACACCCUGAAGGCCUGGGGGGCCACAUCUGCUGGGUUUGGGGAGACGCUCUUUCUGUCUAUGAGGGGCUGUAGAAGCUACCUUCCUUGGCAGUGACAGCUGCUUCUAAGCAGUCCUUGUCCUUGCGCUCCAUGUUUUUGGAGGGAGGUGACAUGGGAGAAGUUGGGGGCACCCAUCCUGAGGGGCAGGUUCCAAGUACUCUUGGGCCCUGUCAGCCCUGCACCCUAGAGGGAGAAGGGAAGGGGCCUGCCCAGGGUCACAGGUGAGCGAUCCAGAAACGAGACUGCAUCCCCUGGGACUCCCAGCUUAGUGCUCCCUCGGCAUCACCCUCCCCAUUCACCACCUGUGCUGUGUGUUUCUGACAGUGGUGGGAGGUGAGGCCCUGGUUCUCAGCGUCAGCCAUGGUUCUGUGACAUGGGAGGCUGCAGGCCCCUUAGGCUGUGGAAAAAAUGGGUCAGGGGGUCAGGAGGGAAUCAGGCCCUGACCUUGCUCCUUCUGUCUCACAUUUCAGGACUGGGGCUGCACCACACAAGGGUCCCCAGGGCCCCCAGGUGGGCCUUGUACCCCCAGCUCUGGCAGCGCCCCCAGGAUUGAACGUGGGGAGCCCCAGGGCAGAAGCAAGAAGGUGUGGGGUUUCUUCUCCAAGGGGAAGCAGCUCCUCAGGAGGCUGGGCUCUGGGAAGAAGGAGUGAAGCUGUGGCCCAUCCUGCAGGCAGAAGAGGCCCUGAGAGGCCCCCAGAUCACUGUCUCUGCUGAGCAGGGAAGGCUCAGACUGGGCCCAGAGCCCCCGUUCUUCUGCGUUAACACUGUGGCAUUCAGAGGGAAUCAAAGAGCCUUGGUGAAGGUCAGAGCUAAAUGGCUCCUUAAGGAUGAACUCUCUAGAGAAGCACCUUCCUCCUACAGGAGGGGAAACUGAGCCCACAGUGAGUAUGUAACUUGACCAAGGUCACUGAGCCAGGACUGGACCCAGGACCCUCGCGUCCUGGUCCACCCACCUCGUCUACUAGUGUCCCACAGUGCUGCGCUAGUACCUUCUGCCACCCUUCCCAGUCCCAGGACGGGCCCUGGAGGGAGAAAGGAGCCUGUGCCCCCUGAUGGCUCUGGCUGUCCUGAUCCUGUCUUCCCUCCCCUGAAGGAAAGUUUGCACUGGAUUUUCUUGGAGCCCCAUCUCCCCAGCGGGCAGGCGGGCGGAGCCUGUAUAUAUGUACAUACUCAGUGCCUCAGUUCAGCUUCCUCCACCUCGCUUCCACUGCACAGGCCCAGGAAGGAGAAAGGCCAAGCCAAAGUGGGCCCCACCCUGCCCCCGUCGUGCUCCAUCCUUCCCUGCCGGGGCCUGCUGGCCCCUGUAAGGUCCCGCCCCCAAAGACCCUGGGGCCAGCGGGGCCGAAAGCAGAGUUGGGUUUGCCUUAUUUUGCUCAUUGGAUUCAAGUUCUUUUGCAUAGUUUUCUUCUAACCCCUGUUGGAGUCCAGGGGCUGGAGAAAAGGACAGAUUUAUGCAGCUAUUUUCAUACAUUCCCUGUUCAGAGUGGGGUAGGGGUUCUCCACCGUUACCCGAUCCACUCCAUCCCCCACCCUCUGAGGGGUGAGUGUGUCUUUGCAUGUUUCCUUUGCUGUGGUGGGAGAUAGUUUGACUGAACCCCCACCUCGACCUUGGUCUCCAGGGGUGUGGAAUGGUGGGGGAAUUUGUUUAAAAAGACAUUUUAUUAUAAUAAAGUCUAUUUUCACAAAAUCU